GUAGCCCUUUAGCCUGCCGAUAUCUGAGCAUGGGUUAAAGCUGCAUUUUAAUUUAUAUCGUCUGUCAGAGAGAGCGGCGGCAUUGUGCCCUUGUGGCACCUCUGCGACCGGUCAAAGGUGUCACACAUAAACCAUUCAAUCUGACAGUCAGUCGGGGCGGAGCGGAGCCGAGGAGAGCGAGACUCGAGCGAUAGAUGGGAGAAGACAAUGCCCCCGACGUUGACCGCAGUCAAACUUUCGAUUUCAGUUUGUCAGCGUGGAACAGAACCGAACCGAACAGGACACGUUUGCCACAGCCAUUUCACCGUUAGCUAGGUUAGCCGUGUGCUGCAAUUUAUUUUUGUCUGUAGAGAGGGAGAGAGAGAGAGAGCUGCUGUUGCUGCCCCCCUCUCCCAGUCGAUUCAGUUCGGUGGUGCAAAUUGCGAGUGGGUGGUGGCUUGGUGGUUGUUGCAGAAAAACCAAUUUGUAAUAAAGACGGAGAGGAGAGACAUGUACCCAUAGACAGUAUUGUGGGGGCGGAAUGAAUCGAGUGGGAUUAUGUGGCAUC
rnacentral:lncRNA from 1 species